rnacentral:rRNA from 1 species
CCUAACACAUGCAAGUCGAACGGUAACAGGAAGCAGCUUGCUGCUUCGCUGACGAGUGGCGGACGGGUGAGUAAUGUCUGGGAAGCUGCCUGAUGGAGGGGGAUAACUACUGGAAACGGUAGCUAAUACCGCAUAAUGUCGCAAGACCAAAGAGGGGGACCUUCGGGCCUCUUGCCAUCGGAUGUGCCCAGAUGGGAUUAGCUAGUAGGUGGGGUAACGGCUCACCUAGGCGACGAUCCCUAGCUGGUCUGAGAGGAUGACCAGCCACACUGGAACUGAGACACGGUCCAGACUCCUACGGGAGGCAGCAGUGGGGAAUAUUGCACAAUGGGCGCAAGCCUGAUGCAGCCAUGCCGCGUGUAUGAAGAAGGCCUUCGGGUUGUAAAGACU